GACGUAGGGCGCGAGCGUUGUCCGGAAUUAUUGGGCGUAAAGAGCUCGUAGGCGGUUUGUCGCGUCGAAUGUGAAAACCCGGGGCUCAACCCCGGGCCUGCAUUCGAUACGGGCAGACUAGAGUUCGGUAGGGGAGUCUGGAAUUCCUGGUGUAGCGGUGAAAUGCGCAGAUAUCAGGAGGAACACCGGUGGCGAAGGCGGGACUCUGGGCCGAUACUGGCGCUGAGGAGCGAAAGCGUGGGGAGCAAACAGG
rnacentral:rRNA from 1 species